rnacentral:rRNA from 1 species
UACGUAGGGUGCAAGCGUUGUCCGGAAUUAUUGGGCGUAAAGAGCUCGUAGGCGGUUCGUCGCGUCGGCUGUGAAAACCUGAGGCUCAACCUCAGGCCUGCAGUCGAUACGGGCGGACUCGAGUACUGCAGGGGAGACUGGAAUUCCUGGUGUAGCGGUGAAAUGCGCAGAUAUCAGGAGGAACACCGGUGGCGAAGGCGGGUCUCUGGGCAGUAACUGACGCUGAGGAGCGAAAGCGUGGGGGAGCGAACAGG